rnacentral:snRNA from 1 species
AGACUUGUCAGGCAGGGGAGAUAACCAUGUUCACAAAGGUAGUUUUUUCAGGGCAAGGCUUAUCCAUUAUACAUUGGAUGUGCUGACCCCAGCACUUUCCCCAAAUGCAGUAAACUUGACCACAUAAUUUCUGGUAGUGGGGGGACUGU